CAAGCCUGAUCCAGCCAUACCGCGUGGGUGAAGAAGGCCUUCGGGUUGUAAAGCCCUUUUGUUGGGAAAGAAAAGCAUUCGGUUAAUACCCGAUUGUUCUGACGGUACCCAAAGAAUAAGCACCGGCUAACUUCGUGCCAGCAGCCGCGGUAAUACGAAGGGGGCUAGCGUUGCUCGGAAUCACUGGGCGUAAAGCGCACGUAGGCGGAUCGUUAAGUCAGGGGUGAAAUCCUGGGGCUCAACCUCAGAACUGCCCUUGAUACUGGCGAUCUCGAGUUCGAGAGAGGUUGGUGGAACUCCGAGUGUAGAGGUGAAAUUCGUAGAUAUUCGGAAGAACACCAGUGGCGAAGGCGGCCAACUGGCUCGAUACUGACGCUGAGGUGCGAAAGCGUGGGGAGCAAACA
rnacentral:rRNA from 1 species